GUGCCAUUUCAGCUUUGCACGUGUAAUUGAUGUUUUACCUUCUGUACCUGUACUUUUAAAGCGAAAUUUAAUUUUGUUUUGCAGCACACGUUCAGAACACAACAAGCAUUGGUAAGAAAAACACAUAAAAGUUUGAAAAAAUUGCAUGGGGUGUCAACCAUGCCUCUCGGAAAAUGACGGUCAGAUGGCUCUUGGAAUGGUUGAUGCCGGCAUGAGUGUUGCUGACGUCGUGGCUCGAUUUUAUGUGCAUAAGUCAACAGUUUAGGGACUAGCAAACAGAAAUCAACAAAUUGCAACAACACAGGAUAGGUUGAUAUGCUGUAGACCAAAAACAACCAUCGUCAAGGGAGGAGCGCUACCUUCGCUUUACGUUAACAUGUGGUAAGUUUCUUCUGGCCACAAGAGUAGUGCAUUGACUAAGGGUAGCUGCUGGUGUUCCUGCCAAUCCUUCAUUGAUGCACUUAGAACAUGGCAGAGAAAUUGAUUUUGAAUAACACUAUACUCAUUUCCGCAUUUUGACCCUCCCGCGCUCCAUACAAAAAAUAUCCUAAUGAAUAUGAGUGUUAAACAUUCAUGUUGCUUCUGACAUGUCAUAAUUCCAUUUUUUUAUUAUCAUUUUGUAAUAAAAUUUCAUAUUUUUGUUGCUAAACUUUUUUGGCUCAGUAUAGAUAAACAUACAUCACUUUCGAUUCUUUGAAGUUACCUAUGCUAUAUAUUUUCUAUAGGCUAUAAAAAAUAUAAAGAAACUUAAAAUCCAAUUGUUCAGAGAACAAUUGCAGGUCUUUCCACAAGUAAGGAUAAUUUUAAUAGUAUUCUUAAAAUUUUAAUUGGAUUACCUCCCAUACACUAGCAAAUUUACCUGACGAUAUCGGGAUAUAGGUAUUUAAUCGGAUCUUAAUAUGUACUUGUGAUUUGUUUAAAACCGGUUUUUCAUAAAAAUAAACGAAGAAAUGUCGAAAUGUUCAGAACUUAAUUAAAUCUGUAUUUGGGUAAGAUGGUGCAAGCAUACGAUUUUUAUUGCGUCUUACACUUUGAGAAGCGAAUAAUCUUUAGCUACUUUAUUUAAAUAUUGUGUAAAAACGUUAAUUAUGAGCUAUGAAAGUUUAAGUCAAGUGGCUCGAGCGUUUUUCUGAGGAAGUUUUAAACUAGAGGCUGUAAAGAGCCUGUGUCUCUCACCUUGGUCUAUGUGAAUAUUAAACAAAGGACACACUGUCAGAUGGAUUCAAGACAAAAUUGUGGUUUGGUGAUGGUGAUGUGUUUGUAAAUCUUACUUUACUGAACAUUCUUGCUGCUUACAAUUAUCUCUAUCUAUAAUGAACUUGACCCAGUAGUUACAGUGGAAAAUGUUAGUAAAAUUUUACAAAUUUUGUGAAAAUUGUUAAAAAUUGACUAUAUAAAGGGCAAUAACUCCUUAGGGGGUC
rnacentral:lncRNA from 1 species